GGGGGCGUAGCUUAAUGGUAAAGCGAGUAAUUUAUACCUACGAGAAGGGAGUUCAAUUCUCCUCGCCUCCA
rnacentral:tRNA from 1 species